rnacentral:rRNA from 1 species
UACAGGGGGUGCAAACGUUGCUCGGAAUCAUUGGGCGUAAAGCGCGCGUAGGCGGUUUGUUAUGUCGGAUGUGAAAGCCCUUGGCUCAACUGAGGAAGUGCAUCCGAAACUGGCAAGCUAGAGUACUAAAGAGGGUCGCGGAAUUCCCGGUGUAGAGGUGAAAUUCGUAGAUAUCGGGAGGAACACCGGUGGCGAAGGCGGCGACCUGGGUAGAUACUGACGCUGAGGUGCGAAAGCGUGGGGAGCAAACAGG